rnacentral:rRNA from 1 species
GACGAACGCUGGCGGCGUGCUUAACACAUGCAAGUCGAACGGAAAGGCCCUGCUUUUGUGGGGUGCUCGAGUGGCGAACGGGUGAGUAACCCGUGAGUAACCUUCCCUUGACUUUGGGAUAACUUCAGAAAACCGGGGCUAAUACCAGCUAGCUGCUCCUGCUGCAUGGUGGGGGUUGGAACGUGUCGGCGGUUGGGGUCGGACUCGCGGCUUAUCAGCUUGUUGGUGGGGUAGUGGCUUACCAAGGCUUUGACGGGUAGCCGGCCUGAGAGGGUGAACGGCCACAUGGGGACUGAGAUACGGCCCGGGCGCCUCCGGGCGGCAGCAGCGGGGAAUAGGUCACAAGGGGCGGCAGCCGGAUGGAGGAACGCCGCGUGCGGGAUGACGGCCUUCUGGUUGUAAGCCGCUUUCGCCUGUGACGAACCGUGAUUACGGUUACUGCGGAAGAAAGCACCGCCUACUUACUU